rnacentral:rRNA from 1 species
AUUGAACGCUGGCGGAAUGCUUUACACAUGCAAGUCGAACGGCAGCACGGGGGCAACCCUGGUGGCGAGUGGCGAACGGGUGAGUAAUACAUCGGAACGUGCCCGGUCGUGGGGGAUAACGUAGCGAAAGUUACGCUAAUACCGCAUACGAUCUGAGGAUGAAAGCGGGGGACCUUCGGGCCUCGCGCGAUCGGAGCGGCCGAUGUCAGAUUAGGUAGUUGGUGGGGUAAAGGCCUACCAAGCCGACGAUCUGUAGCUGGUCUGAGAGGACGACCAGCCACACUGGGACUGAGACACGGCCCAGACUCCUACGGGAGGCAGCAGUGGGGAAUUUUGGACAAUGGGCGCAAGCCUGAUCCAGCCAUUCCGCGUGCAGGACGAAGGCCUUCGGGUUGUAAACUGCUUUUGUACGGAACGAAAAGGCUCUGGCUAAUACCUGGGGCUCAUGACGGUACCGUAAGAAUAAGCACCGGCUAACUACGCG